UUGUGUAUUUUUGAGCCCCCUGUAAUUAAUUAACUGGAAUUCGCUGUUGCAAAUAUACCACUGUCGUAAUUACAGACCAUCCCUGGCUGUGCAUCAUUUGUUGCUGCCGUAAAGCAGGCCGCACUUUUCGCGGAAAUUCGUACCCGCUCACCAAACUUACCGCGUUUGACGUAAUAAAGGGGUGCAGGAGAAAGAAACAGAAGCCGGAAGGAUUUUGAAACUGAUAUUUCAAGUGAAAUAUUCAUCGGGAGACUGAAUACAGGAUUUGAUUGGAUAGUGAAAUACAUACGUGAACAGAACAAUCCCAAUCAGAAAGGCUGAUGCAGGAACUGUGUAGAGUAUCCAAUCAGCAUCAGAAAGAAGACCUUGAUGUACACGCAAAGAGGGCAAACCAGAACUGACGGUGAAAGAGAGGAGGAGAAAGA